AUGGCUUCAAAGAGGUGUUUGCUUAUUUGUGUGGUUCUCUUUCUCUGUGUUUUGAGUUUUUCUACCAAACCAUUAGCUAGGAACAUUCCUAAUGUUUCUAAAUUAAACUCAGAUUUAUAUGAAAUGGGUGUGAAAAGACUCCUUGGCCAAGAUAAUCGACGACCUAAAUGUAAGAGGGGAAGAUUUACUUAUGCUGUGAGUGUGAGUCGCUUGAGGCAAGAUCAACCACGUUGCCACCAUUAUUGA